rnacentral:rRNA from 1 species
AAAACAACUCUCGGCAACGGAUAUCUCGGCUCUCGCAUCGAUGAAGAACGUAGCRAACUGCGAUACUUGGUGUGAAUUGCAGAAUCCCGUGAACCAUCGAGUCUUUGAACGCAAGUUGCGCCCAAAGCCAUUAGGCCGAGGGCACGUCUGCCUGGGCGUCACG